AUGAAUCCGGUUGAGAUUCCCCACUGGUUCGAUCCCGUUCCCAACUCAGUGUGUGUGGAUGGAAAGAGGCUGCGGCAAUCUGCAAUGCCUGUUGACCCCGUGUCCAAGAUCCUCCACCUAAUCGGCUACCCCACCACCCUCAUCUGCGCUGCUCUCGUCUGCAAACGUUGGUUCUUUCAUGCCUCUGACCCUGCCUUCCUCCGCCGCUUCCGCAAGCUCCACCCGCCCCGCCUCCUCGGUGUAUAUUUCAAGACCAGGGCGAACCGCUCACGCUUUGUGCCGAUGCUACCGCAGCCCCCAGAGAAUGAUGCAGCCAUCAGCUGCGCAAGCUCCGGCCUGGAUGCACAUAAACUCAUGUUGGAUGACUGGAAUGACAUCAUCUUCACCAAAACAUUUAACAACUGCGAUGAAGAACCCAGAUCAAUACAUAUAGUGCGCAACCCGCUCUGCCCUGCAAGAGGCAUGGUUAUCGUAACUCCAUUCCCAUGCUACGGGCACCAGGAUGACUAUUUCUACAAGUUCUGUAAAUUCCAAUUCGAAGAAGAAGGUGACAGCUUGUCAUACUUCUGUGUGCAGAGUGGACUUUCUAAUGAUGGAAGAAAAUCUACGGUGUAUGUGUAUAUGUUGCAAGAUGGUGUUUGGUGCUUGCAUACCUCACCAACGACACAACUUCCUUGUCGGCCACAGAUACUGAAUUCUUUGCUUGUUGACAAUAAAAUCUACAUGGCGGCCACCCAAACUGAAAUACUUGUGUUGGAUUUGACAGCCUCAAAGGACAACUGGUUGCUGGUGGAUACCAUUUGCUUGCGUGAGAUGUAUGCUAAAUUGAGGAUGCCCGAUCUUAUAGAUUGGGUGUGGAUAAAUCAGGUGGGGGUAAAUGCUGAGUUUGUUUUCUUGAGGAUGGGUCGAUGCCUAGUCUAUGUGGGUAUCAAGAGCAGGAAGUUGUGUAAAGUGUAUGAGAUGACAAGCGAGGAUCGACGGUUGGGUCGUCUCCAUCCUUGUAUGAUGAUUUGGCCUCCCACAUUCCAUGCGCUCAAGGAUGGUCCUGCAAGGAGGAUGAGGGUGUCCCCUGUAUAUGGGUGCUUGGUCGGCAUGCUGAGAAGGAAAAUGGAGGAACUGGGAAUAAGUACAUGGUUGAUGUUCCUUUCACCCUCCUCCAUGACCAUGCUAUGUCUUUUCACUUGUUUUGAUAUUGUCACCGUUAAUUGUCGCCAUCCUUAUUAUUGGUCUGCUUUGCUUGGAACAGCGAUGCCAUGUGAAGACGAGGAAGGCCUUGGAUCAAAGAAGAGCGACUACAGCUGGGUGGUGCGUGUAUUGUCCAUUGCAAAACCUGUGCUGGACUCCAUUGGCAACGUGCAUGUGGUAUCGAUCUGCUGA
rnacentral:rRNA from 1 species